rnacentral:rRNA from 1 species
UACGUAGGGUGCAAGCGUUGUCCGGAAUUAUUGGGCGUAAAGAGCUCGUAGGCGGUUCGUCGCGUCGGCUGUGAAAACCUGAGGCUCAACCUCAGGCCUGCAGUCGAUACGGGCGGACUUGAGUACUGCAGGGGAGACUGGAAUUCCUGGUGUAGCGGUGAAAUGCGCAGAUAUCAGGAGGAACACCGAUGGCGAAGGCAGUGGGCUGGGCCGGCACUGACGCUGAGGAGCGAAAGCGUGGGGAGCGAACAGG